AGGACGGUGAGGCGGGAGCCAACGGCCGGCGUCAGGGGGUGGGCGCGGGAGCGCGGCGUCCAGGGGCUGGCCUAGCUGGGGCCGGAGACCCUGCGCCUUCGGGCCGAGCCGCCGAUCCUCCGCAGCCGCGGGAUCGCAGCCGCCUGGCCGUGGGCGACCCGGCACUCCCGGGCGCCAGCGGGCAUUGUCUCCGCCGCCGGCGUCCCCCGAGCCCCCCCUCCCCCCCCGGGCCAUGAUCGACUCGGUGAAGCUGCGCCGCGACAGCGCGGCCGACUUUUUCUCGCACUACGAGUACCUGUGCGCGCUGCAGGACUCGGUGCCGCUGCCCUCGGUGCGCGCUUGCCUGCGGGAGGGCGUGCUGGACUUCAAUGCCGACCGCCUGCGCAUCGUGGACUGGGCGCCGCUCUUGAGCACCCUCAAGAUUAAUAAAGAUCUGCCCCUAGUCUCUAUCAAGAGCUUCUUCCAGCCGUGGCUUGGCGAAACAGGUUCUGACAAAAGUAAAGUUUGCAGAAGUCGUGUUCCUGCGAUAAGAAACAAAGAUGUGACCUUCCAGUUAUGUAAAGCUCUCAAAUGCUGUUUAAGUGUAUCAAGUGCUCUAAAGAACCUCGAGCUAAAUGGACUAGUGCUGAGAGAGAGAGAUUUAACUAUUUUGACAAAGGGAUUGAAUAAAUCCACCUCUCUGGUGCACCUGUCUCUUGCAAAUUGCCCAAUUGGAGAUGGAGGUUUGGAAAUUAUUUGUCAAGGUAUAAAGAACUCUAUCACUCUUAAGACAGUAAACUUCACGGGGUGUAAUCUGACAUGGCAGGGAGCAGAUCACAUGGCCAAGAUCUUAAAGUAUCAGACCAUGCGAAGGCAUGAAGAAAUCUGGGCUGAGAGUCUUCGUUACAGGAGGCCUGAUCUGGACUGUAUGGCUGGUUUGAGGCGCAUCACUUUGAACUGCAACACGCUCAUUGGUGACCUGGGCGCAAGUGCUUUUGCAGAAUCUCUCAGUGAGGAUUUAUGGCUUAGAGCACUUGACCUGCAGCAGUGUGGCCUCACCAAUGAAGGAGCAAAGGCUUUACUAAAGGCCCUCGAAACCAACAGAACUCUGGUCAUUCUGGAUGUAAGAAAAAAUCCACUCGUUGAUCAUUCUGUGAUGAAAGCAGUUAUCAAAAAAGUUCUCCAGAAUGGAAGGAGCGCCAAGUCAGAGUACCAGUGGAUAACUUCUCCAUCAGUGAAGGAACCAUUCAAAACUGCUAGACAGAAAAAGAGAACUAUAAUCCUGGGAAAUGGUCGGAAAGGGAAAGCUACUAUUAGAAUUGGAUUGGCCACAAAGAAACCUGUAAGUAAUGGAAGGAAACACCCCCUUGGUAAAGAAUAUUCUCCUGAGCCUCUACCUCCUGGCGUCUCUGGUUUCCUGCCGUGGCGCACAGCGGAACGUGCAAAAAGGACCAGGGGUUUUCCAUUAAUCAAAACUCAUGAUGUAUAUAAUCAUUUGCAGCAAUCAGAUUUUCCUGUGACUGUGACAGUAGAGAGUCCUUCCUCCUCAGAAAUUGAAGAGGUCGACGAUUCAUCCGAAAGUGUUCAAGAAGAGCCUGAGAAAACCAGUUUAAAACAAGAAGCAUUAGAGGAAAAACUGGAGGAGUGCCUAAAGCAGUUAAAGGAGGAAAGAGUAAUAAGGUUUAAGGCUGAUAAACGAGUCAGUGAGCUGGAACAUGAAAAUGCCCAGUUAAGAAAUAUAAAUUUCUCUUUGUCUGAAGCCCUGCAUGCACAGUCAUUGACAAGCAUGAUCCUGGAUGACGAAGGUGUUUUGGGCAGCAUUGAGAAUUCUUUUCAGAAGUUCCAUGCUUUCUUGGACCUCCUUAAAGAUGCUGGGCUUGGGCAGCUUGCCACAAUGGCUGGAAUAGAUCAGUCAGAUUUUCAUUUACUGGGUCGUCCCCAGAUGAAUUCUACUCUCAGUAGUCUGCCUAUGGAAGAAAAGAAAGCACUUGAAGAAGAAAAACGAGAAUCAAAGCAGAACCCCCUAGGACAGAUGCAAAAUAUCCAAGUUUCUAUUUGUAUGCAGUCAGCUUGCAGUGAAGGAACACUAAUGAAGUUUCAGAAAAUCACAGGUGAUGCUAGAAUUCCUUUGCCUCUCGACUCCUUCCAUGUCCCCGUUUCCACGCAGGAGCCCUUAGAAACCUCUAGAGACAACCUGGGAGUCCCAGUCAAUGAGCAGUGGCAGGACUCUAUCACAGAAUUCAUUGCUGGAACAUGUUCUCCCUCAGCAGAUGUGAUGUCUGGAGCUGGAAGCCAAAGAAAAGAAGAUGAAUUGUCUAGAAAUAGCAGAUCUUCUUCAGAGAAAAUGACCAGAACAGAAUCUCAUUGAAAUGACUGGAGAAAUACUAAAAAUAGAAUAGCAGAAUUGGAAAACCAGAACAUGAACAGUGUGGAAUUCCUAGAAGAUAAAAAGCAGAUGAUCGAGGAUCAGUUAAUUAAAGAGGGAAGCAGCUCAGCCAUUCUGCGCACCUUUGAAGCACCUAAUUCUGGAGUUUGCCACCAGGCUAAGGCUAAGAAAACAGCCCUUUGAGAGACCUUGGAAAAUACAAACAUAUGACCUGCCAUCCUGUAUGUCCUGUGUCCAUCUAUUUUUCAAAAUCUGGCUGUCCUAGUAUCUAUGUGGAAAAUGAGCUUUACCAUGUAACCUGUGUAACUCAGAGCUUUAAACCCAAUGGCUUCCUACAUAGUAUAUUCAAACUGCCUUUUUUUUUUUUUAACUACAACCCACAGUAAAAAUUAUAUUUUAUGCAAAGGAAAAGGUAAGUGUCCUGGCCCACACCUGCCUUGUGAGCACACGGAGUGAAUGGAACAUUUCAUCGAACAGCUCUUACUGUACUUCUGGUGACAGUCUAGUAUGUUCUGUCCUGUUUCAUUCCUUUAAAGAAAAUUCUGUUUGCAACCCACCAAGUAGGUUUCACAAUCCACGACUGGGUCGUGACCUAUGGUAUGAAAACCCUGGGGAGAAUGCUUCAGACACUUGCUCUGUCUACUCCUGACCAAACUGCUGCGGGCGUACAAUGCGAGGCUGUCCCGCCUUGGCAUCCUUCCUCCAGGGGUCAAAGUCCUUCUCCAUUUGUGCGUUACUUGCAAUUAGGUAAUUUACGUGAGAUUCCCCUUUAAAAAACCCUUUGUUACAGUGAAAGCCUGAGUUUUCAAACUGAUGCAUCUACACAGAAUCCUAAAAAUAUAAUUUGGUUAAAGAAUUAAAAAAACCCCACAAAUGUCCUGUGAUUUAAGGCACUUGCUUGGUGUUGCUCACAAGGCACGUAGUGUACUUACUGUAAGGGCUGAAAGGGCUCAGUCCCUUAGUACAGUUUGUAAAUUUUAAACCAGUGUGAAUUUAAAAACAAAAAACAGAAAAACAACCAAGCAGUUUAGAGUUAGAUAAGGACACCUCCUAUAGAUUAGAUAAUCAUUAACUUUGUUCCCGAGUGACUAGGGAGGAUUACUUGGUUUAUUUUAAGGUCUCCAAAAGAUAGUCCUCAAUGUCCUUGACUGUGGAGGAGGCUCUUUUUUUUUUUUUUUUUGACAGAGACAGAGACAGCGAGAGCAGGAACACAAGCAGGGGGAGUGGGAGAGGGAGAAACAGGCUUCCCGCCGAGCAGGGAGCCUGAUGUGGGACUCGAUCCCAGGACCCUGGGAUCAUGACCUGAGCCGAAGGCAGACGCCCAACGACUGAGCCACCCAGGCGCCCUGGAGGAGGCUUUUAUCUCUACACUGGAAAAACCAAAAACAAAACUUUGCAAAAAUCUUAAAACUAGAUAAUCCCCGGGUCCUUUUGUCUUAAAGGAUAAAUUUGACUGCGGUGUGAAAACAGAAAAAUCAGGAGAGGGGAUAGGAGAGGUGUUGUAUAAGGUUACACAACAAUAUUGUAUUAUAAUCAUCAAACUUGCUAAGAGACUAGAUCUUAAUUAUUCCAACCACUAAAAAGAAAUGAUAAUUGUGUGACGUGGUGGAGGUGAUAACGCUACAAUGACAAUCAUACAAAUGUAUCAAAUCAAUGUGUUGUACACCUUAAAUUAACAAAAUGUUAUAUGUCAAAAAUAUUUCAAUUAAAAAAGCUAAAAUCAAUUUACUAAAUAGCUCUAAUUUCUUUACACCGAAGUCAAACCAAAUCUUUUCUAAGAACCUAGUGCCUUGGGGCGCCUGGGUGGCUCAGUCAGUUAAGCAGCCGACUCUUGAUUUCAGCUCAGGUCAUGAUCUCAGGGUCGUGGGAUCGAGCCCCACACGUCAGGCUCUGUGCUCAGUAGGGAGUCAGUUUGAGAUUUUCUCUUUCCUCUCCCUCUGCCCCUUGGCGUGCAUGCUCUCUCUCUAAUAAAUAAAUAAAAUCUUAAAAAAAAAAAAAAAAAGAAUCUAGUGCCUUAUUGUAUACCAGAUAGGAGACACUUUCACGUAUUAUUCCAAGACCUGGAAACCUAUGAGGGGUCAAAGGUGUUCUCUUUAUACCUUUAUAUCAGUCAUACCCUGGUUCAAGCUAUUGCUUACAAUCAAGUGAACCGCUAGCUGUUUUUGGGACGAGUGGCAAGAAUGGCAAAUUUGAAGCUAUGGAACAUGGUUUUCUUGGUUUCCUGCUCUUCUUAGGCUUAUAUCAUUUUCUGUAGUUGCUCUCUUAUCCAAUGUAGUUAAUAUAAUAACCUUGUAACUAUAUAAUAAGUUUAAACUGGCUAAUGCCUCAAAAUUUUUGGUAUAGAUUUCCAUUCAUUUUUGAUUUAAAAAAAUUAAAUAUUAUAAUUUUUUUAAAUUACAUCACUUUUUUCAGGGGCACCUGGCUCAGUCGGUUAAGCAUCCGACUCUCAGUUUCAGCUCAGGUCUUCAUCUCAGGGUCAUGAGUCCACGCUGGGCAUGAAGUCUACUUUUAAUAACUUUUUGCAGAAAUCACUCAUCUUAAACCGAGUGAAGUCCAUAGUCUUCAAGGCCUAGGAUUGAAUACAAUUGAUAAGAUGAAGUUUGGUGUUUUCUUUCACUGAUAGGAGCAGAUUUACCCUGAACCUUUUACUGGGGGUUAAGAUUUUAGGUCUUUAGGUUAAAAUAAAGCUUCAGGCCUACAACCCUCAGUUGUCCAUAAUUUUGCCAUACCUUUAAAGUAUUUCCUUUUUGUCCCAAUUUUAAUAAAUGUGCUGCCAAAGCAAGCACCCAAGUAUUCCCUUUUAUAAACAGGACCAGGGGGCGCCUGGGUGGCUCAGUCGGUUAAGCGGCUGCCUUCGGCUCAGGUCAUGAUCCCAGGGUCCUGGGGUCGAGUCCCGCAUCGGGCUCCCUGCUCAGUAGGGAGCCUGCUUCUCCCUCUCCCUCUGCCUGCCUCUCUGCCUACUUGUACUCUCUCUCUCUAAUAAAUAAAUAAAAAUCUUUAAAUAAAUAAAUAAAUAAAUAAACAGGACCAGGAUCGAACUUUCCACUAACCUGAGUUAACUCUGUUCCACCAUUUACAGAGAGAUGGUAAUCAUUUAGGGUUUCUCCCUGUUUGGUCAACUGGAAACCCAUAACUCUUCUCUACAACAAAAAGAUGCCUCUCUGCCUAUUUCUCCAUCUACCCCCCCCCCCCCCAACACCGUUCUCCCUUGAAGGAGAGUCAGUGCCUCAGGCCUUGGGUGAGAAAUAGGCCUUGCCGGUAGGACAUGGGUUGCCCUUCUGUGUUAACACUUAGGUUGUGCUUCAGCCCUUGCUGGUGACUUCAGCGAAAUUAGAAGCAGCUUCAUUUCUUCAGGGACUUCAAAGUCCCAUGUGGAAGAGGCAAGGUGCCUGCUGGAAUGAGGAACGUCUUACCUCCAAGCAGGCAGAGAUGCGUCUCCUCAAGGGUUUUGAGGAGAAGCCGCUUCUGAGGAGAGCUAAACCCCCAGCACCCGGGCCUCGGCCGGCCUUGGACUCCCGCUAGCCGUGCGGAAGGCUCCGUGGCAGAUGGACUGACCCCACGAACAUGAGUUUCUCCCAGUUGAGUUUCAGUUCACAAGUCAGGGACUCCAGACAACCGGCCAAGGGGGUGACAUCCUGGAGCACCUGAAGCCAGAUUGUUCUGCAAGUGGAGGCAGCCGUGGAAAGAACCAGACUCUACCACCAUCGCUGAACGAGGCCCCUUUGACCCUGAACUGAAGGGAAACUGGGCAGGAAAUAAUUGUGGAUUUUUAAUUUCUUUAGAGCUCAACCUUCAAGAGAAAGGAUAUUAAUUUUUUUUUAGACUUUAAUUCCUCCCUGAGAAUUUAAUAAUGUGAGGCAUUUCAUACAGUUCAAAUCAGGGCGUUUUAAUAUUGCCGGCAUUUAUUAUUUGGAGUAGAUUUAUGCCUUCAUUUGAAUUCACUGCAUAAUCUCCAGCAAGCUCUAUCGAAUGCCCUACCUGGGAAAAUCGAAGAUGGAAAACAGAUUGGGGAGUGCAUUUUGAGGCUAGAGCAUUGGGAUAGGCUUGAGGGAAUUUAAUCGGUGCUCCAUUGAGACCCAUUUCAGGGCCGUCGGGGUCCCAUGGCCGACCUCAGGAGGACUCACAAGGGGAUGGUGAUGAGGCCGGGGAGCACUCAGCAUUUUCCCAGGAAGAACAGCGGCACUCAUGCAGUGCUGAGCCCUGUGUGUUAAGAAACUCAAAUGUUAGAAAUACUGGCGACACAGGAAGAGAGACGUUUUCCCCUCCCUCCCUGUGUCAGCCGAAGUCCGUAAAGGUGAGCGUGUGCUUUCUCAGAGCUUUCGGACACUCAGCGUUCAUUCUCCUUGUCAGGCCCCCUUCCUUCUCCCAGGAUGAAGGAGUGGCUUAUUCUGGCUGUUGAGGUCAGCAGUGGGGUUGUUCAUUACACGGGCUCAGCCUCCUCCUCCUGGAUAUCUUCUGGAUCCUGCCUGUCCCCGUUGCCUGCCAUUGCCCAGUAAGUCCAUUCCAUUUGGUGAGGGAAGAGGAGAGAAAGACUAGCCUGAACUUGGCUCUCCAUCCUAGCCUGCAGUCCACCUUGGAAAGUACUGACGUGGCUACUUUAAUCCCCAUGAGAGCCUAUUGGGCUUCCGUGAACGGGUUUCAGCUGGGUUCAGAACUUUGAAGGGAAGAACAGUAGGAUUAAUUAGCAUCCCAGAAACAACACAGGCUGUGUUCCUUCAGGUGUCAAGACAAUAUAAUAAUUAACUCUGGAGUCCCACCACCCCGGCUUCUGUUCUAGGAGAGAAUGAAUAUCUUCCUCAGUUCCAGGUAGAAAUCCUGGUGAAACCACCUCACACGCAUUAGGAUGGCUACUCUAACAAACCAACAAACCCCAGAAAGUAACAAGUGUCGGUGAGGAUGUGGAGAAGGAGGAAGCCUCGUGGGCUUCCUCCCACUGCUGGUGGGAAUGUGAAAUGGUGCAGCUGCUACGGAAAUCAGUAUGGAGUCCCCCCCCCCCAUUAAAAAUAGAACUACCAUAUGAUCCAGCAACUCCACUUCUGAAUAUAUACCCCAAAGAACUGAAAGCCGGGUCUCAAAUAUGUAUUUGUACAUAUUUGUCAGCAUUUGUCACAGUAGCCAAAAGGUGGAAGCAACCCAAGCAUCCACUGAUGGAUGGAUAAACAGAAUGUGGUAAAAAAAAAAAAAUAUAUGUGAGGUAACAGAAAAUAGAUAUACUGGACUCUAAAAUACAUAUAUUUAAAAUAAAUAUAUGGGCUCCUGAAUCCUGGCACCGGGCUCCUAAAACCCUUGUCCUUUCCUAAGUGAUAAGAGCACUAGGAGCGUCUCCUGUUCCGAUGAGGUGACUCUGGAUGGGCUUCUGGAUGGGGGCUGGUCACCAAAAAAACCAAGACAUAAUUAGCAGCUUGGAGUUUUCAGCUUGGCUCCCCCUUCUCUAGAGAGAGGAGAGGGGCUGGAAAUGGAGUUAAGAAUUGAUCGUGCCUACGUGAGAAAGCCUCAAAAGAAAUUCCAGUCGUAUACGGUUCUGAGAGCUUCCAGGUCGGUGAACACAUCCACGUACCAGGAGGGUGGCAGGUGCCACACAAGGGACAGAGUCUCCUGCCUUCAGAACCCUCCCAGAUCUCACCCUAUGGAUUUUUUUUUUUUUUUAAAUCUGGCUGUUCAUCCAUAUCCUUUAUUAUAGGCUUUAAUAAACUGGUAAAUAUAAGUCAGUGUCCCUGAGUUCUGUGAGCUGUUCUAGCAAAUACUCGAAUCCAAGGGGGAGGAGGUCAUGGGAACCUCUGGUUGUAGACAAGUCAGACAGAAGAUGUGGGUAACCUGGGGACCUACUCCUUGCUAUUGGCAUCGAAGUGGGGCAAAGUCUUGAGGGACUGAGCCCUUACCCUGUGGGAUCUGACGCUAACACAAGGCAGGGAGGGUCAGAAGUGAGUUAAAUUGCAGUACCCUCAGCUGGUAUUGCAGAAUUUCUUGGUGGGGGAGAACGCCCACACGUCCGGUGUCAGAAAUGGGGUGAGUGUGGUAGUCCUGUGGGAGUAAAGACUGGGAUUUUUCUAAUGCAACAUACGAUAGAGUAGUCACAUGCACAGAGACAGAAAGCAGAAUGACAGUAGCCAGGGCCGGGAGCAGGGGAAGUUGCUUAAUGGGUAAAGAGUUGCAGUUUUGCAAGCUGGACGUGUUCUGGUGGUUGGUUGCAUACAUUGUGAAUGUACUUAAUACUACUGAACUGUACAUAUAAAAAUGAGUAAGACGGUAGGUUUUUUUGAUUAUUUGUAUUUUCCCACAAUUUUUUUAAAUCAUGGGGAAGAUUUGGGACGAACGCCCUUGGCGUUCUUUUUUUUUUUUUUUUUAAACAUUUUAUUUAUUUAUUUGACAGAGAGCGACACAG